rnacentral:rRNA from 1 species
AUUGAACGCUGGCGGCAUGCCUUACACAUGCAAGUCGAACGGUAACGGGCCUUCGGGUGCCGACGAGUGGCGAACGGGUGCGUAAUACAUCGGAACGUGCCCGAUCGUGGGGGAUAACGAGGCGAAAGCUUUGCUAAUACCGCAUACGAUCUACGGAUGAAAGCCGGGGACCGCAAGGCCUUGCGCGGACGGAGCGGCCGAUGGCAGAUUAGGUAGUUGGUGGGCUAAAAGCUUACCAAGCCGACGAUCUGUAGCUGGUCUGAGAGGAUGAUCAGCCACACUGGAACUGAGACACGGCCCAGACUCCUACGGGAGGCAGCAGUGGGGAAUUUUGGACAAUGGGCGCAAGCCUGAUCCAGCCAUGCCGCGUGCAGGAUGAAGGCCUUCGGGUUGUAAACUGCUUUUGUACGGAACGAAAAGCCUUCUUUUAAUACAGGAGGGUCAUGACGGUACCGUAAGAAUAAGCACCGGCUAACUACGUG